GACGAACGCUGGCGGCGUGCUUAACACAUGCAAGUCGAACGGAAAGGCCCUGCUUUUGUGGGGUGCUCGAGUGGCGAACGGGUGAGUAACACGUGAGUAACCUGCCCUUGACUUUGGGAUAACUUCAGGAAACUGGGGCUAAUACCGGAUAGGAGCUCCUGCUGCAUGGUGGGGGUUGGAAAGUUUCGGCGGUUGGGGCUGGACUCGCGGCUUAUCAGCUUGUUGGUGGGGUAGUGGCUUACCAAGGCUUUGACGGGUAGCCGGCCUGAGAGGGUGACCGGCCACCUUGGGACUGAGAUACGGACCAGACUCCUACGGGAGGCAGCAGUGGGGAAUAUUGCACAAUGGGCGGAAGCCUGAUGCAGCAACGCCGCGUGCGGGAUGACGGCCUUCGGGUUGUAAACCGCUUUCGCCUGUGACGAAGCGUGAGUGACGGUAAUGGGUAAAGAAGCACCGGCUAACUACGUG
rnacentral:rRNA from 1 species